rnacentral:rRNA from 1 species
GGUUUAAGGGCAAAAUUGGUAAAAUAAGAAUUAAUAAAAGAAUUUUUAGUUUGAGUAGGGUAUAGCGAAGGGAUUGUUAAAGUAAGUACUGUGAAGGAUUUGUGAAAGAAUAUAAGCACUAAAUAAAAGAAGUUACGUAACGUACCUUUUGUAUCAGGGUUUAUUAAAUAUAGGGAAGAAUAUUAAAAUCUCGAUAUAAGGAGGGCUAACUUAGUAAAUUGGUUAAAGUGGCAAAUUUAUUUACCAUACUUAGUUAGGAGUGAAAUGCUAGUCGAUCUUUAAGGUAUCUAGUUUUUCAAGAAAUGAAUUUAAUUCAGGUAUUAGGUGUAGUACUAUGUGAUAGGGGGUUUAGCAACCGAGUACAAAAAUUUUAGGGGAUAAGCUCUAAUUUAUUUUAUAAAUUUGGAAUUUACGAAAGGGUGUAGGUUUAAAAGUAGCCACCAAAAGGAUGUUAUAGUUUAUCUUGGUUAAGAAGAAUUUUGCUAGUUUAAAUAGAUAUUGAAACAAUUUUGUAAAUAAGAAGCAAAGUGGGAUAAUGAUAAAAUGAAUAUUGAGGGUAUAUUUUAUUAAGGAAUUCGGCAAAGUUGUGCCCGCCUGUUUAUCAAAAACAUCGCCUCUGGGGUAUGUAAGAGGUCUUACCUGCCCACUGAAACUUUUAAGGGCCGCGGUAUUUUGACCGUGCAAAGGUAGCAUAAUCAUUAGCCUCUUAAUUAGAGGCUGGGAUGAAAGGUGGGACGAGGUACAAACUGUCUCCAUAAAAAAGAAGAAAUUAACUUUUUAGUUAAAAGGCUAAAAUAAUAUUAAAGGACGAGAAGACCCUAUAGAACUUCAUAAAUUAGGCUUAAGCCUUUAGGAAAAUAUGUUACUUAAAGCUAAAUUUUAUUAUGUUGGGGUGACGGGGUAAUAAAUUAACUUACCUUAUGUAAAACAUAAUAAGUGAAUAAAGGAUCCAUAAAUAAUGAAUAAAAAAUUAAGUUACCUUAGGGAUAACAGCGUAAUCCUUUUUGAGAGUUCAUAUCGAUAAGAGGGGUUGCGACCUCGAUGUUGGAUUAAAGGUAAUUUUAGGUGCAGCCGCUUAGAGUUGGGGUCUGUUCGACCCUUAAAACUUUACAUGAUCUGAGUUCAGACCGGCGUGAGCCAGGUCGGUUUCUAUCCUUAAUAAACAAAAUAUUUUAGUACGAAAGGACCAAAUAUUAGGGAUAAUUCUUUAAUUAAAGAAUAUU